AAGUGGAAGCGGCUCGGUCCAGAGCGGCCGCGCUUUCUUUCCUCCUCUUUCGCGCGGUCCUGCCAAACGGGUUGUUCUUCGGCGCUUGAGGAGAAAUUCACCCUGAAGCUGGAGAGCAAGAGACAUGAGAGCUUCUGACGGCUGCUGCGGGGGGAUCUGCCAACUACUGAUCGCAGAAAGAAAAAUAAAUAAAUGUGGACAGAUUCCUGCCAAUUGUGCUCACCCUGCCUGCUGAUAGUACUGGAGACCAGAGUCCUACAUACCCUUACUUCUGCAGAUUGCUUGAGAACAGAUCCACUGGCCAGAAGAUUAUGCCAUAUAAUGGAUCAUUAUACCAGAUGGGUCAUUACUAAACCACCUGCCGUGGGUAUGUCAAGAUGAUGAAAGCACAUUUCAUAAAAUGUCAAGAGGUGAACAGAACAUGUGCAGAGUCACUGACAGAUCAGUAACCCACUUUGUAUUACAGAGAUGUCAUCCCAACCAUUUUAUUUACUAUUUGAACAAGAAAAAGUAAUAUUAAGCCAGAUACACCAAUCUUCACAUCCAGUUUAUUCUGCCCUUGUGCCCAAUUUGUAGAAUAGGCUGCAACCACGUGUAAUGCUAACAAUGGUACAUCAACUGCAUCACAGUGGCAAAUCUCUGCAAAUGGAAUUUUGGGAAUAAGUUAUCUUCUAGAAGAAUUCUGCAUCUGGCAGAAAUUGCAAUGGACAAGACAAUGGGCCAGUGUUCAAUCUGCACAGCUGACAGUCUGCAAUGUACUAAUGCCAGAGCCAUUUUGAAAAUAUUAGCUUAAGAGACAGCCCCCUUCUAACUGCAUUUAUAGGGUCUGGUCCAGUAAUAACCUGCUAAAAGAUGUUUCUGCCAUUUAAGUCAGGUGAAAUUCAAAAGUCCUAACAAGGCCUAUGUUCUGAAGAUGCAUACGUAGUGCAAAAUAGGCAUCCCACAAGUCUACUAACGUAAAACAGA